UCGAGGAUCUUUCGCAAUGGGCGCAAGCCUGACGAAGCGACGCUGCGUGAGCGAUGAAGGCCUUCGGGUCGUAAAGCUCUUUCGCGCAAGAACAAGGAAAUGGUGUGAAUAACAUCGUAACUUGAGGGUACUGCGUAAAGAAGCACCGGCUAACUCCGUGCCAGCAGCUGCGGUAAUACGGAGAGUGCAAGCAUUAAUCGGAAUUAUUGGGCGUAAAGGGCGCGUAGGCGGGAAUGAAAGUCAGAUGUGAAAUUCCGAAGCUCAACUUCGGAGCUGCAUUUGAAACUCCAAUUCUCGAGGAUUGACGGAGAAAACGGAAUUCCACGUGUAGCGGUGAAAUGCGUAGAUAUGUGGAAGAACACCUGUGGCGAAAGCGGUUUUCUAGUUUAUACCUGACGCUGAGGCGCGAGAGCAAGGGGAGCAAACAGG
rnacentral:rRNA from 1 species